rnacentral:rRNA from 1 species
GACAAACGCUGGCGGCGUGCUUAAUACAUGCAAGUCGAACGGUACCCCUUCGGGGGUAUAGUGGCGGACGGGUGAGUAACACGUAGAUAACCUGCCCUGCUGAGGGAAUAACAUCUCGAAAGAGAUGCUAAUACCGCAUAAGCUCUUUUUUGUUAGAAAGAGAGGAAACCUAGCUUCGUAAGAGGUGGGGCUGCAGGAGGGGUCUGCGGCGGAUUAGCUAGUUGGUGAGGUAAAGGCNCACCAAGGCGACGAUCCGUAGCUGGUCUGAGAGGACGGCCAGCCACACUGGGACUGAGACACGGCCCAGACUCCUACGGGAGGCAGCAGGUAAGG